GCCCGUCUAGCUCAGUUCGUAGGGCGCAAGGCUCUUAAUUUUGUGAUCGUGGGUUUGAGCCCACAGUGGGCG
rnacentral:tRNA from 1 species